UACAGAGGAGCCAAGCGUUGUCCGGAUUGACUGGGCGUAAAGCGCACGCAGGCGGUUGCGCGCGUGGGGUGUGAAAUCUGGCCGCUUAACGGCCAGGCGCCAUCCCAUACGGCGCGACUGGAGUGAUGCAGAGGUCGAUGGAAUUGCCGGUGUAGUAGUGAAAUGCGUAGAGAUCGGCAGGAACACCCAGGGGGAAACCAGUCGACUGGGCAUCUACUGACGCUGAGGUGCGAGAGCGUGGGGAGCGAACCGG
rnacentral:rRNA from 1 species